AACGAACGCUGGCGGCAGGCUUAACACAUGCAAGUCGAACGGUUCCUUCGGGGACAGUGGCAGACGGGUGAGUAACGCGUGGGAAUCUACCCAGUCCUACGGGAUAGCUCCGGGAAACUGGAAUUAAUACCGUAUACGCCCUUUUGGGGAAAGAUUUAUCGGGAUUGGAUGAGCCCGCGUAAGAUUAGCUAGUUGGUGGGGUAAUGGCCCACCAAGGCGACGAUCUUUAGCUGGUCUGAGAGGAUGAUCAGCCACACUGGGACUGAGACACGGCCCAGACUCCUACGGGAGGCAGCAGUGGGGAAUAUUGGACAAUGGGCGCAAGCCUGAUCCAGCCAUGCCGCGUGAGUGAUGAAGGCCUUAGGGUUGUAAAGCUCUUUCACCGGAGAAGAUAAUGACGGUAUCCGGAGAAGAAGCCCCGGCUAACUUCGUGCCAGCCGCCGCAGUAAUAC
rnacentral:rRNA from 1 species